CUACAUGUCAGCUGUGAAAUUCUUCAGUGAAGGUGUCUUCCUGCAUGAGCUUCUAUGCUUGUUAUGAGUUGAGAGCAACGGUACAAUUCGUGCGGCACAACGAUCCGUUUCGUGCACUGAGGUUUUUCUCUGACGCUGUGCUGGUUAGUUGCGGGAGAAGGCG